AACUGUCAUGAUGGCUAUAGCAGAAGCGCUCAUAUCAUGGCCCUGUCAGAUUCGAAUGAAUCUGAGAAUUCUGCU
rnacentral:lncRNA from 1 species